CCCCUCCUCGGCGAGCCAUGCGUGCCGCGGGCAGCUGAGGAGCCGCCGGGCGCCGCUGCCAAGUCUCCGCUCCGCUUUUGUCUUGCCCUCCAGUUGAAUGGGAAGAUGGAGAUGGAUGUUGAGGGAGUUUCUCCGCGCCCGGAGCCCAUCCCCCGCUCCCAGGGGGCUGGCGGAGCCUGCCAGGCGCCGGCAUCACGGACCCAGCCCCAGCCGCAGCGAGAACAGCCUCUGCCUCAGGAUGAACUGCCCGGCGAGAGUGCAGGCGCUGAGGACAGCGAAGGUCCCGAGAGGAGACCCAACGGCGAGAAAGGCGAGAGCAAGGUGAGAAAAUUAAAGCCCCCUGGCAAGUGAUUUACCCAAAUGAAGAUGUGACACUUGAAGACUGCAAAGCCUAGAACAUGAGUGCAGAUGGUGUGAAACAAAAUCCUCCUCUAAAGUACCCUAAUCUUUUCCGAUAUGGUUAUGUGAAACAUUCAGAAUCUCCUUCAGAUGUUCAGAAGUUUUAGUUUCUUAUAAAAUGAGAUUAAUACACAUUUGCAAUAAUCCAAGCAUAAAUAUAAUUUCAUUCCUAUGUUUUAU
rnacentral:lncRNA from 1 species